UACGUAGGGUGCAAGCGUUGUCCGGAAUUAUUGGGCGUAAAGGGCUCGUAGGCGGUCUGUCGCGUCCGUUGUGAAAACUCGAGGCUCAACCUCGGGCUUGCAGUGGAUACGGGCAGACUAGAGUUCGGUAGGGGAGUCUGGAAUUCCUGGUGUAGCGGUGAAAUGCGCAGAUAUCAGGAGGAACACCGGUGGCGAAGGCGGGACUCUGGGCCGAUACUGACGCUGAGGAGCGAAAGCGUGGGGAGCAAACAGG
rnacentral:rRNA from 1 species